rnacentral:rRNA from 1 species
AUUGAACGCUGGCGGCAGGCCUAACACAUGCAAGUCGAACGAGUGGCGGACGGGUGAGAGAUGUCUGGGAAAAUGCAGGAUGGAGGGGGAUAACUACUGGAAACGGUAGCUAAUACCGCAUACCAUCAGAUGUGCCCCGAUGGGUUUAGCUAGUAGGUGGGGUAACGGCGCACCUAGGCGACGAUCCCUAGCUGUGCUGAGAGGAUGACCAGCCACACUGGAACUGAUACACGGUCCAGACUCCUACGGGAGGCAGCAGUGGGGAAUAUUGCACAAUGGGCGCAAGCCUGAUGCAGCCAUGCCGCGGGGGGGAAUAAGGCCUUCGGGUUGUAAAGCACUUUCAGCGGGGAGGCGUUACCCGCAUAAGAAGCACCGGCUAACUCCGUGCCAGCCGCCGCGGUAAUUC